rnacentral:rRNA from 1 species
AGGACGAACGCUGGCGGCGUGCUUAACACAUGCAAGUCGAACGGUGAUCUCGGUGCUUGCACCGGGUGAUCAGUGGCGAACGGGUGAGUAACACGUGAGUAACCUGCCCCCGACUCUGGGAUAACCCCGGGAAUCGGAGCUAAUACCGGAUACGAGACGCACAGGCAUCUGUAGCGUCUGGAAAGAAUUUCGGCGGGGAUGGACUCGCGGCCUAUCAGCUAGUUGGUGGGUAACGGCCCACCGAAGGCGACGACGGGUA